GUUUGGACUGUGAGCUUGACAUAUGUAAUGGACACUUGUAUAGUAUGUUGCAAUGACAUUAAAUUUUACUCUACAUCUCUUUAUAUUCAUGUAAAAGAUGCAGACAGGCAGAUAGACAAACCAACUCCCCAAAAUGAAGUAUAACAAUAGAACAUGGGGACGGAUGGACAUCACUUACCUCUUACAAUCACAAAUUAGAUACUUAAUAAUUUCACUUUCUGAAAAUUCUGCUGCUGCAAUGUCAUUCUUAAGGAG
rnacentral:lncRNA from 1 species